GGUGACAGUGGACGUCUGGAGGUGUACCAUGAUGGAGAAUGGGGCUCUGUCUGCAGUCACAAGUUUGGAUAUCAUGAAGCUACUGUAGCUUGUCGUAUGAUGGGCUACUCUUAUGCUAAGCGAGCCUAUACUAAAAGCAAUGCAGCAUACUUUGACACAGUUGAUAGCAAUAAGAUAGUUUUAUCAGAGUUGAAGUGUGAUGGGACAGAGAGUCAUCUCUCUGAUUGUGACUUUGAUGAUGAAGAAACUUGUUCUCAAGGCAGUCCAGUGCAUAUUGAGUGCAGGAAUGAAAUGUCCAUAGAAGAGGACUAAUGAUUAUUUGCUGUUUUUAUUCAAGGACUUAAUACUCUUUUGUAACACCUUUAGUUUUGUAGCAAACAGUUUUUGUAGUGAUCAAUCACAAAAUUGUCAUUGAACUUGUCACAUGUGUACAUUUAACACUUAGUUUUGCAACAAUAGCUUUUAUCAUCAGUUUAUUUUUAGAAA